UACGAAGGGGGCUAGCGUUGCUCGGAGUCACUGGGCGUAAAGCGCACGUAGGCGGACAUUUAAGUCAGGGGUGAAAUCCCGGGGCUCAACCCCGGAACUGCCUUUGAUACUGGGUGUCUGGAGUCCGGAAGAGGUGAGUGGAAUUCCGAGUGUAGAGGUGAAAUUCGUAGAUAUUCGGAGGAACACCAGUGGCGAAGGCGGCUCACUGGUCCGGUACUGACGCUGAGGUGCGAAAGCGUGGGGAGCAAACAGG
rnacentral:rRNA from 1 species